rnacentral:rRNA from 1 species
GACGAAUGCUGGCGGCGUGCUUAACACAUGCAAGUCGAACGGAAAGGCCCUGCUUUUGUGGGGUGCUCGAGUGGCGAACGGGUGAGUAACACGUGAGUAACCUGCCCUUGACUUUGGGAUAACUUCAGGAAACUGGGGCUAAUACCGGAUAGGAGCUCCUGCUGCAUGGUGGGGGUUGGAAAGUUUCGGCGGUUGGGGAUGGACUCGCGGCUUAUCAGCUUGUUGGUGGGGUAGUGGCUUACCAAGGCUUUGACGGGUAGCCGGCCUGAGAGGGUGACCGGCCACAUUGGGACUGAGAUACGGCCCAGACUCCUACGGGAGGCGGCAGUGGGGAAUAUUGCACAAUGGGCGGAAGCCUGAUGCAGCAACGCCGCGUGCGGGAUGACGGCCUUCGGGUUGUAAACCGCUUUCGCCUGUGACGAAGCGUGAGUGACGGUAAUGGGUAAAGAAGCACCGGCUAACUACGUG